GCGGCCGUCGUCUAGCCUGGAUCAGGACGCUGGCCUUCCAAGCCAGAGGUCCCGGGUUCAAAUCCCGGCGGCCGCA
rnacentral:tRNA from 2 species